CCGCCGGCGACCGGCGCACGGGUGAGUAACACGUAUGCAACCUGGCCGUGACAGAUGGAUAACCGGGAGAAAUCCCGCCUAAUACAACAUAAUGCCGGGAGGGGACAUCCCCUGCCGGCCAAAGGGGGCGACCCCGGUCACGGAUAGGCAUGCGGCGCAUUAGGUAGUUGGUGGGGCAACGGCCCACCAAGCCGACGAUGCGUAGGGGUUCUGAGAGGAAGGUCCCCCACAUUGGAACUGAGACACGGUCCAAACUCCUACGGGAGGCAGCAG
rnacentral:rRNA from 1 species